CCAGACUCCUACGGGAGGCAGCAGUGAGGAAUAUUGGUCAAUGAGCGGAAGCCUGAACCAGCCAAGUCGCGUGAGGGAAGAAGGCCCUGCGGGUCGCAGACCUCUUUGGACGGGGAGCAAGGCCGCCGACGUGUCGGCGGAAGGAGAGUACCCGUAGAACAAGCAUCGGCUAACUACGUGCCAGCAGCCGCGGUAAUACGUAGGUGGCAAGCGUUAUCCGGAUUUACUGGGUGUAAAGGGCGUGUAGGCGGGAUGGUAAGUCAGAUGUGAAAACUAUGGGCUCAACCCAUAGCCUGCAUUUGAAACUAUCGUUCUUGAGUGUUGGAGAGGCAGGCGGAAUUCCGUGUGUAGCGGUGAAAUGCGUAGAUAUACGGAGGAACACCAGUGGCGAAGGCGGCCUGCUGGACAAUAACUGACGCUGAGGCGCGAAAGCGUGGGGAGCAAACAGGAUUAGAUACCCUAGUA
rnacentral:rRNA from 1 species